UGGGUGAUCUGCCCUGCACUUUGGGAUAAGCCUGGGAAACUGGGUCUAAUACCGAAUACACCUUGCUGGCUGCAUGGCCUGGUGGGGGAAAGCUUUUGCGGUGUGGGAUGGGCCCGCGGCCUAUCAGCUUGUUGGUGAGGUAAUGGCUCACCAAGGCGAUGACGGGUAGCCGGCCUGAGAGGGUGACCGGCCACACUGGGACUGAGACACGGCCCAGACUCCGUACGGGAGCA
rnacentral:rRNA from 1 species